ACAUACCAAUUUCCAGAGUGGGUGGCAGCUGUUGAGGCCCAGGUUUAUCCAUCUUGGGCCAAAAUUCUCAUACUCUUGACCCCAUGUAUUGGGCCUGGACUUUGUGGCUCCCCAAAAACAUGGCUACAAAGCUUUGUUCUGAAAAAUCAAAGCCUCCUCAUUAAAGUAAGCAUCUUCUCCCCCUAAUCCUUUGUCCCCUCCAUUGUCAUUGGUUCAGAUUUUAGAAAAGAACUACUCUUCCUGUACUUGGGGUUUUGUUUCUCCCCGAGUGGGAGUGUUACUGGUUCAUAACGCUCUUACACCUGUCCCCUACCCAAGGCUUCUCCCUGUAACCUUGGGCCAGGCCGGACUUUACGAGAAGACAAGAAUUGAUCUAACCCAAUUGCCUUUCCAGUGAAACAGGCUCUGUUUCCCCAGGCAUCACUUACUUAUGGGAUGGCCGAUUUCCAUGCCAGGACAGCUCUGGGUAUUUUGAUGUUCUUUCUUGUAUUCCACUUAGAUCUGCUCCCUUAAUCUGGCCUCAUCAGUUCUGUCUCAUGUUAUGUUCGCUGAACUUAAUGAAACAUUGAUUUUCAAGCAGACAGUUUCCUUGAGUGUACUGGUCAUAUGUAAUCUUCAUUUCCAACCACACAUUUCCUCAUGUUGCUCCAGGGAAAGAAGGGAAACGUCUAUUGAAAUUAACUACUUCUGUCUAGUCAGGGAUAAAGGCCAAUUUAUUCUUCAAGAAUGAAGUCCAAUGCUACCUUCUCCAGAAAAAUAAGGAGAAAUUUGGAUACAGAGACAGAUGCACACAGAGGGAAGAUGAUGGGAAGGGACACGGGGAGAAGAUGGUCAUCCACAUGCCAAGGAAGGAGGCCUGGAACAAAUUCCCCUUCACAGCACUCAGAAGAAACCAGCCCUGCUGACACUUUGAGUUCAGACUUUUAGCCUCCAGAACUGUGAGACUAUACAGUUUUGUUGUUUAAGACCCCCGGUUUGUAGUACUUUGUUACAGCAGUCCUAGCCAAUGAAUACAGGUAUAUUACGAGGACUUUAGUCUUUUACUUCUUUUUUCUUUACAAGUUUUUUAAAUAGAAAAGUAGAAGUAAGAAAAUAAAGCAUAAAAAAAGA